rnacentral:ncRNA from 1 species
AUUAAAUACCAUCUCCGAGCCGGUGUUACCUAAGGGCUGCCAGCCUAUGGGACACCGGCCUGGGUCGCAUUACCCACGGGGUAGGCCGGGAAACGGGCCUGCCUCCCCCUUGCUCGGAAAGGAGAUGCAGCGUGGCAGGG